rnacentral:rRNA from 1 species
UAGGGAAUCUUCGGCAAUGGGGGCAACCCUGACCGAGCAACGCCGCGUGAGUGAAGAAGGUUUUCGGAUCGUAAAGCUCUGUUGUAAGUCAAGAACGAGUGUGAGAGUGGAAAGUUCACACUGUGACGGUAGCUUACCAGAAAGGGACGGCUAACUACGUGCCAGCAGCCGCGGUAAUACGUAGGUCCCGAGCGUUGUCCGGAUUUAUUGGGCGUAAAGCGAGCGCAGGCGGUUUGAUAAGUCUGAAGUUAAAGGCUGUGGCUCACCCAUAGUUCGCUUUGGAAACUGUCAAACUUGAGUGCAGAAGGGGAGAGUGGAAUUCCAUGUGUAGCGGUGAAAUGCGUAGAUAUAUGGAGGAACACCGGUGGCGAAAGCGGCUCUCUGGUCUGUAACUGACGCUGAGGCUCGAAAGCGUGGGGAGCGAACAGGAUUAGAUACCCUGGUAGUUCUCGCCGUAAACGAUGAGUGCUAGGUGUUGGAUCCUUUCCGGGAUUCAGUGCCGCAGCUAACGCAUUAAGCACUCCGCCUGGGGAGUACGACCGCAAGGUUG